GGUGGCUCAGUGGUAGAGUGCUUGCCUUGCAUGCAAGUGGCCCUGGGUUCAAUUCCUCAGCACCA
rnacentral:tRNA from 1 species